rnacentral:tRNA from 1 species
CGCGGGGUAGAGCAGUCUGGUAGCUCGCGUCGGGCUCAUAACCCGGAGGUCGCAGGUUCAAAUCCUGCCCCCGCAA